AAAAAAUAUAAAAACAAUCAAACAAAAUAACCAAAACCGGCGUAGAAUUUAAGGUAAAACCUUUAAAAGAAAAGAAUGUCAUUGUAUUGAUAUCUCGGUUUUAUCGCAUUAAUGCCACAUUGGUAUGAUAAUACUAUAUAUAUAAAAUCUUGUUGUCCUGAGAUGGACCAAGCCUGUAUUUCCGUAAGGUUACACAUUCUCCACCAUAAAUCGCGUAUGUAUACAUAACAUAGUUAUAUUGAUUGAUGCAUGGCUUUGAUUUUAUAACUUGUUUUGAUGUUGUUUUGAUGUAAGUGUACGCCUGACCGUAUUAUAUAUAUCAUCCACACCGUAGUCAGGCCUGGGGUGUGGGGAUACCGUACAACGGUUCAGAAACCCGGGCGAAAACAUGGUCUAGCCUUAGUGACGGGUUAGAGUGUAACUGAAAUGAAUUGGCCGUUUUCUAAUAGACAUACAUCAUGUUUGAUUGCUAAGGUCCGGAUGUUUGUAUACUAAAAAGCGACAAGGUAUAUAAAUACAAUACACAAAUAAACAUCUCGUGUUUCUAAUUUAUCUUUCAGCAGCUGUGACGAUUUCUCGGUUGUUGCCAAGCUACGGAAAUGGAAUUCAAAAUCCUCGUAUUCGUCUUUUUGCUUGUAUUGCCAAUGGACAUCGCCACUGGAAGUUAUGACAGAGAAAGUGAAAUCGCUCGCCUUACAGAUAAAUGUAUGCGGUUUCGAUAUCAGGAUCUUCCCAACCAUAUUUACGACAUCAAUACUGCUGACGUCAUCAGCUUCUGUGUAUUGCAGGCAAUUAACACGAUAAACAGAAGAAUGCAAAAACCGGAUAUUGCUGAGGAUGUUAUUUUGCAUAAUCUUGAUUUGUACAGGAAUAUGCUACAGCGCAAUUCCGGAAGUGAAAACCUACAUUCAAUAAAACAACAUGAAAAACGGACGCAUAAUGCAUCCGGUCGGAAUACUUUCCUAACAAGUGAGAAUUCCUUGAAACCAAUGAUGCCCACGGAUCAAAUGAAAAUUUUCAAGCUACAGCAGCUGCGUCAGGGACGACUGUAAAAACUGAUAAGAUGAAAUCACAUGAUAUGACACAUAACCAUCGAGUCAAACGCAACACCCACAACGCCUUAGACUGGGCCGCCAUUUAUGAUUUCUUCCUUCGAUUGCGUCAAUCUACACUGCCCAGGAACACUGGUCCACAGUUCGUCACCAACAACAGACUCACUGGUCAACGAUUGGUCACGAACAAUGGGCUCACAGGCCCACAGCGUGCAAGGGCAGCCAUAGCAGCCAUUGGACCACUGCCAAUCGGCCGGCGCUUUACAUCUCCGUUCACGGAUCCCCGAACAAGGGGCGACCCUCUACCCAUUGGCCCCCUCCGUCCAAGGUUGAGGAGGGGCUUUUAUCCAAUCAUACAGCAGAGAGGCUCUGGAAGCUUCAAAGACUACACUCGUACAUUCGUUGAUCCUGAUGCUGGUUUGAAAUUCAAGUCAAUACUGACGGAUGCUAGAACCAAGGGUGAUCCUAUGGUCAUUGCAGCUUACAAACCCCAUGAGAAUCAAAUCAAAUAUACAGGUGUCAACACACUGCAGAUAAAACAUACGACUCCACAGGCAAAAUAAGUUAAUUAUGAUGUUUGGAGACUAAAGUUAGAAUAUGUACCAUGGUACCAAAGAGAGAUACUAUAUCCAUCUUUAUCUCGUUAUACUGGACAUGGAUUUGAGGAAACUCUGAUAUCCUUCCUAGGCAGAUGAAACACAAAUGACCAAAGUGACAAAAAUGUACAUAUACUGUUUAUUCUGAUUAUAUAAUUGUAUGGAUUUGAAGAAAGUCUGAAAUCGGAAUACAUUUAAAUGAGACUGUUCAGACAAUGUGCAAGAGGGAUACAUCAGAACCGAACGGAAUGCAUGUUGACUUCAAGACACUUGAAGUCCAUGUGAAUGUUUUAUGUCAAUAUAUAUACUAUUUUGAUGGUUGUAUUCAUGUUAAAUCAAGGUAUUUCUCGAGAUUAAGACGAGGAUUCGGCACUGAUUACAAAGAAAUUCCAAAACCAGGGAAAAAUUAAAUAAAAUUAGAAUUGUGGUAAAUAACGUGAUAUAUAUAUAUGAAUUAUCCUUGAGAUAUGAAUAAUCCAUGUGUCAUCUGGAUAUAAAGGUUAUGCUUAUAUAUGAUAUAUCAUUAUAUCUACCACUCUAUGAAAUUGUCACUAUAUAACCUUACCAGCAGUAGUUGAGCAUUACCAUCUCAUAAACUGACAACCGGCGCAUUGAUAAUGUGUCACGUGAAGCACACCGCAGUUAUAGAAAAAAGUAACAAUUUUCCUUUGAAAAACCUGAUGGACAGUAUAGAGUCUGUAUUUUCGUAAUGUUAAUUAACAUUAAAUAUUAGUACAUUGUAUUUCAUUAGUUAUUUUCGACUGGUUUUCUAUUAUCUUACGCACUAUUUUCUUACGCGGAACAACAUGGUGGAGCUGUUAACAGGCUCACAAGCGAGAAUGGCGGGGAAACUUGAAUUCUGUUACUAUAAGUGUUAAUCCGUUCUUUUACUAAGUAUUUGUAACUAGUGCAGCCAAAUCUUGUUAUCUCAGUGCCAUUUUGUUCAUGAAAACUCCAGAUAUCCCGAUUAUUUUAGGUGACUUAGUAGAUUUUAUAUGUAAAGUUUACUAGCUGUUAUAACUGUUAUUUUACUUCGAGUUAAGCAGGGUUUUCGAGUCAUGAGAUUUUGAGAUAACGAAGAUUGACACUAUUUAUAUAUUUAGUUGAAUAAAACGCCUUGAUCAUA